GAUGAAGAACGUAGUGAAAUGCGAUACGUAAUGUGAAUUGCAAAUUCAGUGAAUCAUCGAGUCUUUGAACGCACAUUGCGCCCCCUGGUAUUCCGGGGGGCAUGCCUGUCCGAGCGUCAUUGCUGCCCUCAAGCACGGCUUGUGUGUUGGGCCCCGUCCUCCGAUCCCGGGGGACGGGCCCGAAAGGCAGCGGCGGCACCGCGUCCGGUCCUCGAGCGUAUGGGGCUUUGUCACCCGCUCUGUAGGCCCGGCCGGCGCUUGCCGAUCAGCCCAAAUUUUUAUCCAGGUUGACCUCGGAUCAGGUAGGGAUACCCGCUGAACUUAAGCAUAUCAAUAAGCGGAGGA
rnacentral:misc_RNA from 1 species